rnacentral:rRNA from 1 species
ACGCUAGCGGCAGGCUAACACAUGCAUGUGAGGGGUAUUUCGAUCUUCGGAUCGGAAACGACCGGCAAAUGGGUGAGUAAUACAUAUGCAACCUGCCCGUAGCUGGAGAAUAGCUUCCGGAAACGGAAAUUAAUACUCCAUAAUAUUCUAGUAUCGCAUGUUAUUAGAAUUAAAGCUUCGGUGGCUACGGAUGGGCAUAUGUCCCAUUAGCUUAGUGGUGAGGUAACUGCUCACCAAGGCUACGAUGGGUAGGGGGUCUGAGAGGAUGAUCCCCCACACUGGUACUGAGACACGGACCAGACUCCUACGGGAGGCAGCAGUGAGGAAUAUUGGUCAAUGGGCGAAAGCCUGAACCAGCCAUGCCGCGUGCAGGAUGACAGUCCUACGGAUUGUAAACUGCUUUUCUGCAAGAAGAAAUGUUCCGACGUGUCGGGAUUUGACGGUAUUGCAGGAAUAAGCAUCGGCUAACUCCGUGCCAGCAGCCGCGGUAAUACGGAGGAUGCAAGCGUUAUCCGGAUUCAUUGGGUUUAAAGGGUGCGUAGGCGGAUUAGAUAGUCAAAGGUGAAAGCCUGCAGCUUAACUGUAGAAGUGCCUUUGAUACUGCUAAUCUUGAGUACAGUUGAGGCGAGUGGAAUGUGUAGUGUAGCGGUGAAAUGCAUAGAUACUACACAGAACACCAAUUGCGAAGGCAGCUCGCUAAGCUGUUACUGACGCUCAGGCACGAAAGCGUGGGGAGCGACCAGGAUUAGAUACCCUGGUAGUCCACGCUGUAAACUAUGAUCCUAGCUGUUG